AAAGCUUGUCUUGUUGUUUUCUUCAUUUUCAUUGUUCUUCUCCCUCUCAUGUCGACCAGUUGUGUAUAUAUAAAACUGAAGCAGACGAAAUCAAACUUUUAGUGAAUAAAUAAAUCUGAAGUCAAAACUUUGACGACUUCUUGAUUGCUGUGAAAACGCGGUUUUGUACAUCAGCUAUGUAACAUUUUCUCAAUAAACAAUUACAAUUUUUAUGAACAUAUGAAUGCAAGACUUUUGGAGGUUCUCAUGUAUUAUUUUAGGUUAAACCGUUCACCGUUUGUUGUGUAGGGUAGAUCGUUAAUUUGUAGGAAUAUAAAAUUUGUGUCAAUUAUAUAUUUGGGUACAUAAUAUCUCCUGGUUCUCAACAUUUCGAAACUACAAAAAUAAAAAAUGAAACUAAAAUUUCUGUUUUUGGUGGCUGAAGGGGAUCGAUCGACCCGGAGCAGGUCCAAUAAUAGACCGGACCCAAGUCAUGUUUAAAAAAACAUGAUCUCGACAAUUUCUUAAAUCUUAAGGAUCAGACUUUUCAACAUUCGAUAAUAUUUGAUUUUUUUUUUUUUUUUUAAAUUAUAUGAUUUUGUGCACCAUCACACGAGUUUAAGUCUACGGACUUAGUUUAGAAAAUAUCGAAGCGAGAGGACCAUAUCUUCAAAGUGUGGUUAAAUGUUAACGUCUGCACUAAAUAUAUCCUUCUUCGAUACUCCAAAACGAGUCACGACACACAAUAUUCCAUCUCAUAUAAAUUAAUUCUACAUCUACAUCAGACAGUCAUAUAUGGACACACAUAUAUAUCAUUUGAUGGUGCGUAUAUGCUUUCUGUAGAAAGUACAUUACAAUUUGGUAUAUUACUCUUUGGUUCUUGCUGAAUCAAAGUGUAGAGAGUAAGCACAAUCUCAAAUAUUAAUCAACAUAUAUAAUUACGUGAUCACAUAUUCAUGCAAGGUGGUAUAAAAGCAAAAAGAAAACAUAUUCAAAGGGAGGCCAUGAAAUAUAUGAUUAAAAGGGAAACGAAUUUGAUCGAAGGAAAAUUAAAGUUAUCGAAGAGACAAAUGAAUUCCGUAUACGGCCACGUGAGAAAGUACUUUUACAUUGCAAGUUUUGCAACCUCUAUAUGUCAAUCAUUAUGAAAAUAUUAUUUUAUUUGCCAAAAAAAAAAAAAAAAACAGUUUUGUAGCCAUUUUGUAUUGUUUUCUCUCUCGCCAUGUUGUAUUUGAGAUUAAACGUUUAGAAACAGAAACAAAAAACAUUUUUUUUUAUUAACUAUUUUGUCGAUUUCAUUAUCAGGAUCAAUUAAUUCCGAUGUAUCCCCACCUAAACAUAUUUCAUUGGAAUAAAUCCUAAAUCAACAUCAGCCUCAUGAUCCUCCCAAAAAAUCCAACCGCUUUGAAUGCUUUCUUAUAGUCUAUAUACACAUAACUAAUGAGUAUUCACGAAUUACAUACGACCCCAACAUUAUUUCAAAAUAUUAACAGUUGAAAACCUGAAUCUCUUUAAUUACAUAUUUUCAUUUUGAAUGAAAAAAAAACAAUGAUUCUUCAAAAUUUGUUUGACUAGUGCCCUAUGUUUUUAGGAGACACAAGAUUAUUCAAAAUGCCCGUUUUCUCUCUUAAAUCUCUUCUUAAUUAAGAUCCUCUAAUUGAAAGUUACUUAUAAA